CAGAGGACUCUCUCAGUUUGAAAGGCAUAUUAUCUGGAAUAUGAAGAUCAACCACUCCAUUAUCACCAGAGUCUUUAUCACUCACACUAACCACAGCUAUCACUGUGUCUAGUUCUAUGUUUUCAUUGACUGGACUCUGAAAUGAUUUAAUAGAUAUUUCUGGGUGGUUAUCAUUCAUGUCUUCUACCAGAAUCUUUAUGGUACACUGUCCUGACAAACUGUUGGCUCCUUUGUCAGUAGCUAUAACUUCCAUAUCAUAAAUCCUGAAAUCCUCAUAAUUCAGCAUGCCUUUAACAGUGAUUUCACCAGUGGAGGGAUUCAGGUGAAAUGUUUCCUGUGUUUUCUCUGAAGUGUAUAAACUGUAAGAGUAAGUUACAUCAGAGUUAGAUCCCUCAUCUAAGUCUGUGGCAUUCAGAUGGAUAACAAGACUCCCUAUGGGAGAGUUUUCCAUUAUUUUUAUCUCAUAAUUCACUUUCGUAAAUGUGGGUGCAUUAUCGUUUGUGUCUAAAACACGAAUUAUUACACUUGCAGUGCCUGAUCGAGCCGGUGUUCCUCCAUCUACAGCUGUGAGUAUUAAAUUAUGGACAGCUUGCUUCUCUCGAUCUAAAGCCUUUACCAAAAUCAACUCGGCAAACUUUGCUCCCUCUCUUACCGUUUGAACCUCAAUAUUGAAAUGUUCACUUUCACUCAGGCGGUAUGUUUUCACAGAAUUUGUUCCAACAUCGGGAUCAACAGCAUUACUGAGAGAAAAUCUCUCUCCUACAGGCGUCGAUUCAGAGAUAUCCAAGUGUAUGACGUCUCUUCUAAACUGAGGGGCGUUGUCAUUUAUAUCUAAAAUUUCUACUUCUAUGUUAAAAAUUCGUAUAGGGUUUUCUAGUGUAACUUCCAGUCUCAGAUAACAAGUCGCUGACGAUUUUGUAUUGCAUAUGUCUUCUCUGUCAAUUUUCUCCACGAUAUACAGCUCACCAGUCUCUUUGUUCACGUCCAGAUAUUUCUUAUUUGCAAUAAUGUCGAGCCGCAUCCUCCGCUGUUUCAGUGUUUUCACAUCCAAGCUCAGAUCGGCGGCAAGGUUUGCAACAAUUGAUCCUUCUUUCAUUUCCUCUGGUAUUGAAUAAUGAGUCACUGAAGACGAUAUUUUCCCAACGAAAGUGAAAAGAACAGCGAACAGCACGUACCUCCUGCAGGGCUCCAUUGCUACAAAGCGUCCUAUUGUUGUGUGGACGUAAUGCGGUCUGAACGAUUAAAAUCUAAUUUCUAGAAACAUCAGAUAUUUCUGUGACCGCAACGAUAUCGUACAUGAGAGCCCUACACUUCCGAGCACACUCAUAGGCUUUUAAAGAAAAACGCCUAGUCCGGUUAGAGUUUCAGCACCACGGAGCUGUCCGAUCGUCUAAAGCACUGAUGAAAACUGUCUCGUGUCAUGACGUUUAGGGGCCGGCAUUUAAUUUUGAAAACAGCGCCACCCUCCAAUUUUUAGAGAAAUAUAUGUACAAAUACUGAAGAUUAAAUAAACAGUGAUUAAAAGUGUUUCACUAUGUUCUUUUUCCCGAAUAUAGAUAGGAUCAGUAAAAACGGUCAUUCUCUUGACUUGCACUUUGGAAUUAAUGAAUGUUAAGAUGUUGUUCUGUUCAUAUAAUAUGUAUUUACACCCUAAAACUCUGGGGUAAAAAACUUUUUCUUUAAAUACACCCCUGGGUCAAAUACAAUUUGGACCAGCUAACCACUGGAUUUCCUUAACUCAGCCAGAUGUAUGAAAUAAAUACCCCAGUUGCAUGUUUGUUUUCACUUGGUACCACUAAGUCCAUCAAUAAAAAUGAACCAGCGUGUUCCUCGAAUUGUAAACCCUACAUGCUGGGUUCAGUUAAUCACAUUUUGGGCCUACUUUGUCCCAGAGGUGUGUUAAAAUCAACCCAAUAUGGGUUGAGUCAUACAAAGCUUUUUCAUAGUGUCAAUGUACUCAAUAUCUCACUUAAUUAUCAGGUAGAAUUUAAAAAAAAUUCCUUUACCCAAAGUCACGUAGAAUAUAAAUAUUUUAAUGACUUUUUAUAAACACCAAAAACUAAUUGUACAUCACUAUAGCAGUCCCUCAAUCAUAACAGCAAAAUUGUAUUUUUCAAAAACACUUUUUAAAACAGCAAAUACAAACUUGCUGUCUAACAAAUACUUUAGGGGAGCACAGCUGGUCAUCUGUAAAUGUCAGGAUAGAAGGGUACGGCCUCAAGUUACAACAUCAUGUUUGAGCCUUUUUGAGGAGGGAAAGAUACUAAAGAUUACAUUAAAAAAUAAUGGAUACUAAGAAUUCAAGGAUAGGUAACAUGUUAUAACCUGAAGAUUGGAUUGGAUUUCUUCCCUCGGACAGGACAACUGUGCUUUCAUCCUUGCGCAAAUCUAGAGAAUAUCUGAUGGAUGUAUUGUUGAUCACAGCAUUUCAGUGCUUCCCUGAACUCACAUUACAUCAGUCUGUUCACCAUUUAUCUCUUUCACCUGUUGUCUCUAUUAUACUGUUAGCAUUAAAUGGACUAUGUUUAUAUUGCAUUCUCUAGUCUUUUGACCACUCAAAGCACUUUUACAUAACAUGUCAAAUUCACCCAUUCACACCACAUUCACACACAAAUAGCGGAGGCUGCUAUGGCUCCCAUGUGUGAAAAUUGUUUAUUCUUCCUUUCUCUGAUUUUAACGUUGCCUUUUAAAGCUUAGAGAGGAAGGUGCUGAAUUUUCAACGACAGGCAAAAAAAAAAAAAAUACUGUUAAGGCUGCAGCUGUUUGCAUUUGAUUUCUCUCUUACUUUGUAACAGUCACUGGGAGGAAUAAAACACAUGACCAGGCAGAUGGGUUGAACUAAAGAACCCACCUUCAUUCAAAUAGCACAAAGGUUGGCCAACAAAGUUUCGCCAGCAUGAAGUGAAAUUAAAAUAAAUGGCAUUUUAAAGAAUGCAAGAAAAAUGUAAGUCAGACUUGUACCUGCAGAGUGGAGGCUGCUGAGUCACUCGUGUCUGUCAGUCCUGUACCUCUGGGUAUACUGGACACAAUGUAUCUGGAUCCCUUUGGCACAGGCUGUCUGACCACCAGCUUUCCUUUCCUGGUCUCUGCUAGAAACAGACUGUACCAGUAGGCAUCGUUGGACACCAGAGUGGAGUCUGCGAUGGUGGAGUUCCUCUCACUGAUCACACUGUUCCUGCAGGGAGGAGCCGCUUUGCUGGGCUUGGUUUUCUGACACUUGAGCACGAUGGUGACCAGUAUGGUGAUGAGCAGGAGAAAUGACACCGAGCCCAGACCGAUGACCAAGUACAGGUUCAGGUCAUUGAAGAUGUCGUACGCCAGAGGCACCUCAGUCAUGUCAGCGUAGGCCUUGACAGCAGUCUCCACUGUGGACAGCUUGAUGGUGACUGUAGCAGACAGAGCGGGCUGCCCGUUGUCCUUGGCAACAACAACCAGUCUCUGGUGGCGUGGGUCUCUGUAGCUGAACAUCCUCAUAGUCCGGAUCUCUCCGUUGUACUGGUCCAGACUGAACAAGGUGGCGUCGGUCACCUGCAGAAACUGGUAGGUGAUCCGAGAGUUGUGCACAGAGUCUGUGUCCAAGGCUAUCACCUUGGCAACCAGAGAGCCCUUAUCUGUGGACCUGGGGAUCUUUUCCUCCACCACUGAGCCAUGUGCUCGCCAUGGAGACACAAUGACCGGAGCGUUAUCAUUCUGGUCCACAAUGAUGAUGUGGACUGUGACGUUACUGCUGAGAGGAGGAGAGCCAGAGUCUCUGGCCUCAAUGUGGAAAAGAAAGUCCUUCUCAAUCUCAUAGUCAAAAGUUUUGAGUGCGUAAAGAUUUCCGUUCUCUGGAUUGAUGGAGAACAGCAUGGACAUGGAGGUGUUGGCUAUCUCCUUCUCCAGGAUGAAAUAAACUAGAUACUGGUUUUCAUGGAGGUCAGGGUCAAAGGCAGUGAGGGAGCUGAGCAGGGCUCCAGGUGCGUUAUUCUCCAUCACACGGAUGGUAUAAAAAGACUGAGGGAACUGUGGGACAUUGUCGUUGACAUCCAGCAGCUCUAAGGUCAUAGUUUCAUUGUCAGAUAAAGGAGGAGAACCUCUGUCUGUCACAGUGAAGGUGAUGUCAUAUUCUGGAACCUUCUCACGGUCUAAGGGCUCUGACACCACUAACUCAUAAUAGUUAUCAGAGGACUCUCUCAGUUUGAAAGGCAUAUUAUCUGGAAUAUGAAGAUCAACCACUCCAUUAUCACCAGAGUCUUUAUCACUCACACUAACCACAGCUAUCACUGUGUCUAGUUCUAUGUUUUCAUUGACUGGACUCUGAAAUGAUUUAAUAGAUAUUUCUGGGUGGUUAUCAUUCAUGUCUUCUACCAGAAUCUUGAUGGUACACUGUCCUGACAAACUGUUGGCUCCUUUGUCAGUAGCUAUAAUCUCCAUAUCAUAAAUCCUGAAAUCCUCAUAAUUCAGCAUGCCUUUAACAGUGAUUUCACCGGUGGAGGGAUUCAGGUGAAAUGUUUCCUGUGUUUUCUCUGAAGUGUAUAAACUGUAAGAGUAAGUUACAUCAGAGUUAGAUCCCUCAUCUAAGUCUGUGGCAUUUAGAUGAAUGACAAGGCUUCCUAUGGGGGAGUUUUCCAUAAUUUCAAUGUUAUAGUUUUGUUGAUUAAAUUUUGGUGCAUUGUCAUUUGUGUCCAAAACAUGAACUAUUAUACUGGCCGUUCCAGAUCGAGCAGGCUGCCCCCCAUCUACAGCUGUGAGUAUUAAAUUGUGAACAGCUUGCUGCUCUCGAUCUAAAGCCUUUGUUAAUAUCAAAUCUGCAAAUUUUGACCCAUCUCUUCCAGUUUGAACUUCUAUGUUGAAAUGCUCACUGCUACUUAAAAUGUAUGUUUUGACUGAAUUAGUUUCAAUAUCGGGAUCAACUGCAUUACUGAGAGAGAAUCUUUCUCCCGCGGACGUUGAUUCGGAAAUGUCUAAAUGAAUGGCGUCUCUUCUAAACUGAGGGGCGUUGUCGUUUAUAUCUAAAAUCUCUAGUUCUAUAUUAAAAAUUCUUAACGGAUUCUCAAGUAUCACCUCAAGUUUGAGAUAACAUGAUGCGGACAUCUUUGUAGGGCAAUGUUCUCUAUCUAUUUUCUCUACAAUAUACAGUUCACCCGUGUCUUUGUUCACGUCCACGUAUUUUUUGUUGGCGAUGAUGUCAAGGCGCAUCUUCCUCUGUUUUAGAGUUCUAACGUCCAGGCUCAGAUCGGUGGCAAGAUUAGCGACAACAGAUCCUUCUUUCAUUUCUUCGGGAAUUGAGUAAUGGGUCACUGAAGCAGAAAUAUAAUGGACCAUGGUAAAAAGAAUAAGGAGCGAAACGUACCUUUUGUAUGACUGCAUAAUUAAGGCAGAGUCCAUUGUUGUGGGAGUGAUCAUCUAUUGAAACGCUACUUAGAUUUAACAUUUGUUUCCGCUGAUGUUAAUGGUAGUUGAUCCGACCUUCAUGAAAACACAGUUUUGUGUGUUAAAUCCCCAAAAGAAUCUUCAUAUAUCCAAACGGAAAUGUGAUCUCUGUUAUUUCAUCUGGCUUCAGCACCACAGAGCUCUCCUCUCUUUACUGCCCCUCCCUUUUUAAAUGAAACCCUCGUCAUGGCGUUUAUGUCGUGGUAUUUUUUUUUAGUAAACAGCGCCACUCGUUAUGUCUUAGAAAACCAUAGGUUAAGAAACGCUGUGAAAGAUAACAAAAUGUACUACUUGGAACUACAAGCCGCUUCAGGUGUCUGAAGAAAAAGUCGGCUACAAUAAAUUCGUUUCAAGCUUAUCAGCCAUACACCUUUCGGAUAACACACACAUACACACGCACACACGCACACACACUUAAAAUUAACACAUCUAUAAAUAUAUAUCAAUGUAUCUACAAGCCUUUAAAACAAUUCUUAGUUGGUUCAAUGGUUUAAAUGCAUUGUACCUUUAAUGCAGAACAAAAAAUAAUAAUUGUAAAACUAUGUUAUUGUUCUAAAGUAUUGGUGUUAGAUACUUUACUUAAAGCAACAAAACACUUAAGUUAUAAUAAAUGUGUUAUAGGACAAUUUAAUUGUUUAUGACCUGAUACAAUGAUGUCACUUUACUCAAAGUAACAAAUCUCAUGAUUUAGCAUGUAACACUUUGGUUUCGGUUUCUGCUGUAUUAAGCUAUUUUGCAUGACAUACCAGAGCUACAUAAGACAUAACGCUCAAUGCUUAAAACAAUUUAUGAACAUUAAACUGUUGUGAAUGCUCAUGAUGACUCAUAAGGGUUGUUAUAACGUCUUAUGGAUUUAAAAGGCUUCAUAAAUGUGGUUGUGAUGCACAAUAAAAGAUGCAUUUAUAUAAAGCUUACAAACAUUUAAAAUAAUAAGUGCGUGACAGAGCAGCAACUAUAUAGUUGUGCAAAUGGGGCUCAUACCUGCAAUGUUGAGGCUGCUGAGUCACUCGUGUCUGUCAGUCCUGUACCUCUGGGUAUACUGGACACAAUGUAUCUGGAUCCCUUUGGCACAGGCUGUCUGACCACCAGCUUUCCUUUCCUGGUCUCUGCUAGAAACAGACUGUACCAGUAGGCAUCGUUGGACACCAGAGUGGAGUCUGCGAUGGUGGAGUUCCUCUCACUGAUCACACUGUUCCUGCAGGGAGGAGCCGCUUUGCUGGGCUUGGUUUUCUGACACUUGAGCACGAUGGUGACCAGUAUGGUGAUGAGCAGGAGAAAUGACACCGAGCCCAGACCGAUGACCAAGUACAGGUUCAGGUCAUUGAAGAUGUCGUACGCCAGAGGCACCUCAGUCAUGUCAGCGUAGGCCUUGACAGCAGUCUCCACUGUGGACAGCUUGAUGGUGACUGUAGCAGACAAAGCGGGCUGCCCGUUGUCCUUGGCAACAACAACCAGUCUCUGGUGGCGUGGGUCUCUGUAGCUGAACAUCCUCAUAGUCCGGAUCUCUCCGUUGUACUGGUCCAGACUGAACAAGGUGGCAUCAGUCACCUGCAGAAACUGGUAGGUGAUCCGAGAGUUGUGCACAGAGUCUGUGUCCAAGGCUAUCACCUUGGCAACCAGAGAGCCUUUAUCUGUGGACCUGGGGAUCUUUUCCUCCACCACUGAGCCGUGUGCUCGCCACGGAGACACAAUGACCGGAGCAUUAUCAUUCUGGUCCACAAUGAUGAUGUGGACUGUGACGUUACUGCUGAGAGGAGGAGAGCCAGAGUCUCUGGCCUCAAUGUGGAAAAGAAAGUCCUUCUCAAUCUCAUAGUCAAAAGUUUUGAGUGCGUAAAGAUUUCCGUUCUCUGGAUUGAUGGAGAACAGCAUGGACAUGGAGGUGUUGGCUAUCUCCUUCUCCAGGAUGAAAUAAACUAGAUACUGGUUUUCAUGGAGGUCAGGGUCAAAGGCAGUGAGGGAGCUGAGCAGGGCUCCAGGUGCGUUAUUCUCCAUCACACGGAUGGUAUAAAAUGACUGAGGGAACUGUGGGACAUUGUCGUUGACAUCCAGCAGCUCUAAGGUCAUAGUUUCAUUGUCAGAUAAAGGAGGAGAACCUCUGUCUGUCACAGUGAAGGUGAUGUCAUAUUCUGGAACCUUCUCACGGUCUAAGGGCUCUGACACCACUAACUCAUAAUAGUUAUCAGAGGACUCUCUCAGUUUGAAAGGCAUAUUAUCUGGAAUAUGAAGAUCAACCACUCCAUUAUCACCAGAGUCUUUAUCACUCACACUAACCACAGCUAUCACUGUGUCUAGUUCUAUGUUUUCAUUGACUGGACUCUGAAAUGAUUUAAUAGAUAUUUCUGGAUGGUUAUCAUUCAUGUCUUCUACCAGAAUCUUUAUGGUACACUGUCCUGACAAACUGUUGGCUCCUUUGUCAGUAGCUAUAAUCUCCAUAUCAUAAAUCCUGAAAUCCUCAUAAUUCAGCAUGCCUUUAACAGUGAUUUCACCAGUGGAGGGAUUCAGGUGAAAUGUUUCCUGUGUUUUCUCUGAAGUGUAUAAACUGUAAGAGUAAGUUACAUCAGAGUUAGAUCCCUCAUCUAGGUCUGUGGCGUUCAGGUGAAUGACAAUACUUCCUAUGGGAGAGUUUUCCAUUAUUUUUACAGUGUUAUUAGUUCUGUCAAAAGUAGGUGCGUUAUCAUUUGUGUCCAAAACAUGAACUAUUACACUUGCAGUACCAGAUCGAGCCGGUGUUCCUCCAUCUACAGCUGUAAGUAUUAAAUUAUGAACAGCCUCCUGCUCUCGAUCUAAAGCCUUAAUCAAAAUUAAAUCGGCAAAUUUCGACCCAUCUCUGCCAGUUUGCACUUCAAUGUCAAAAUAUUGACUGUAACUUAGACGGUAUGUUUUAACUGAAUUACCUCCUAUGUCAGGAUCGACCGCAUUGCUGAGGGAAAAUCGUUCUCCCUUUGGCGUAGAUUCAGAGAUAUCUAGAUGAAUGGCGUCUCUUCUAAAUUGAGGGGCGUUGUCGUUCAUAUCUAAUAUUUCUACUUCUAUGUUGAAAAUUCGAAGCGGAUUCUCGAGAAUAACUUCUAGUUUGAGAUAGCAAGUCGCUGACGUCUUGAAAGGGCAAAGGUGUUCUCUGUCUAUCUUUUCCACAACGUACAGCUCACCAGUCUCUUUGUUCACAUCCAGAUAUUUCUUAUUUGCGAUUAUGUCGAGCCGCAUCUUCCGCUGUUUCAGUGUUUUCACAUCCAAGCUCAGAUCGGCGGCAAGGUUUGCAACAAUUGAUCCUUCUUUCAUUUCCUCUGGUAUUGAAUAAUGAGUCACUGAGGAUGAUAUUAUUCCAACGAAAGUGAAAAGAACAGCGAACAGCACGUACCUCCUGUAGGGCUCCAUUGCUACAAAGCGUCCUAUUGUUGUGUGAACGUGCUGAACUCUGAACGAUUAAAAUCUAUUUUCUGGAAACAUCAGAAAUUACUGUGACCGCAACGAUCGUAUACAUGAUGCCACUGAACUACUCCCGAGCACACUCGUGCGUUAUUAAGGUAAAACGCAUAGUCCGGUUAGAGUUUCAGCACCACGGAGCUGUCCGAUCGUCUAAAGCACUGAUGAAAACCCACUCGUGUCAUGGCGUUUAG